CUCUCUCUCUCUCUCUCCGGGGUCCGCCUUGCGCCGAGCGGGGGUCCAGCAGCUCUCCCUGCCGUCCGCUCCCAGCCCCAGGGACCUCCUCGCCUGGACCGUCCACGGAAGGGACUCAUCCAAACCGCUAGGCGAGUCUAGCUCAGGCUGCCCCGGCGCCAACGCUUCCCUGCUUACUCCUGAAGACCUGGCCAGGUGAUCCUCCAAUAGCCUCAAGAGAUCAGGAAGAAGAAGAAGAAGAAGAAGAAGAAGAGGAGAGGAGAGGA